rnacentral:lncRNA from 1 species
AGGAUAGUUAGCUGGGCUACUCAUUAUUUGACAACUUGCUAUGGCAUCCAAAUGAGCCCCAAAGUAGCUAAUAAAUUGGAUAGAAAAUAGCAGCAGUGGCAUUUAAGGCUUUGUGAUCAAGUAAGGGUAGGGCUGGCAAACGAGCGAGCCGGCUCGCGUUCGACUCGUGUUCGGCUCGAUAUUCGGCUCGCUCGAGUUCGACUCGAAAUUAAAUGAGCUGAACUUGAACAAAAUAAAAGGCUCGAAAUUCAUUUCAAGCCGAGCUUGAGUAUUACUCGGCUCGUUCGAAUUAGGCUCGAAAAGCUCGAAAUCUCGAAAAUAUAUAUAUAUAUAUAUAUAUAUAUAUAUAUAGAGUCCGGCUACUAUGCUAUUUAUAGUACGAAGCACUUGGUGCUACCAAGUUUUCCACCAUUAGAUCUACUAGUUGGAUCAUUUUCACCCGUUAGAUCAUACUAUUCAACCAACCACCCACUCAACCCUAAGGGGCCCACAUCAUCUUAACCGCACAUCUCUUAAUACAAUGGCCAAAAACUUGGUAGCUGUCACGCCCCGGAUGUCUCGUUCUCCGGGCACGCCGACAAACCCGCCGUAUAUAAAGGAGUUUCCUCUGUACACGAAGCGACAGCUGUACCUGUAAACAUACAAUACUACAAACAGUAGUAUAGAGCUGCUAGAGAAAACAAAAGCUAAACAAACUGAGUUUCAUAUACAUAGCUCAAAUCCAAAAUACAGAGUUACUCGCACUGGCGAAUUAGGUAAACUAUGUACAUAAACUCGAAACAAAACAUCUACCUGCAGUAGGGGUGCCUCUAGCUCUGCUCGUCGAGUAGGGCUCUAACUCGCGACGCCCUUGCCUCGAUCCUGAUCCGCGGAAGGCGCAGCAGCCGAAACCUGUGGCUCUGCAAAACAGGGGUAACAACUGGGCGUGAGAACUACUGUAAAAACAAGUAGUCCUCAGUGGGUACCGCCCAAAACAACAUCAGUCCACCCACUAAGUCUACAGAAGGGAGCAAGAAUAGUUAGAAAAGCAUGAAAUAAACUCUACCGCUAUCAAUCACUACACUAUCAUGCUCUACACUAACCAACUGUAGGAAAUGACAAAUCUGACCUAAUCCAAUCGGGACUGUAAGCAUACCCGUCCCCGGGACUGUGAAUACACCCGUCCCUGCCCCGUUGCGACUAUCAGGCUCUAUCCACACUAACUGGUCCGUGGAGAGCAAGUCCAACUGGCAUGAGCGACACCAACGUGAAAGCACAAAGCCUGACUCCGGAGUGGCACUCGUGAGCGCUACCCAACCGAGUAUGCAGCGUAUCUCUGUCGAGCUCAAUCAGGCUCUUGAAAGCCAAAGUCCAGUGACCGACUCAAACUGGUCUAACAACCAACAGGUAACGUGCCCUCGGCACAAUCCAACGCCAAAAAGGCGAUACGGGUCCACCGUCAACCCCGACGGCACCCAACAGUCUGGAAACAGCACAAACGACCCUGUAAAAAUUCACUCGGCGUACCAGCACGAGCGUAAAUGUAUUCUAAACUACCUGAAGUACUCGUCUCGAGAAUACAGCGACAGUACAAUUUUAUAACGGCUCCUAGAGCUAAAUCAGACAGUUUAAACAAGUGACAGGUCCAAAUCACAGGUUUUCUCCUAAUUCAAUUCCAAGUCCAACAUGUAUAAC